UACGUAGGGGGCAAGCGUUGUCCGGAUUCAUUGGGCGUAAAGAGCGUGUAGGCGGCCAGGUAGGUCGGUUGUGAAAACUGGAGGCUCAACCUUCAGAGGUCGACCGAAACCAUCUGGCUAGAGUCCGGGAGAGGAGAGUGGGAAUUCCUGGUGUAGCGGUGAAAUGCGCAGAUAUCAGGAAGAACACCCGUGGCGAAAGCGGCUCUCUGGAACGGUACUGACGCUGAGACGCGAAAGCGUGGGGAGCGAACAGG
rnacentral:rRNA from 1 species